CCCAAACCCCAACAGGACCAGUCAGGAAAACAAACUGCUCUUUGUUCACUAGAGGCCAAGCCAUCAGCGUGAUCUGCAGACCCAGAAUUCUCUCUGAGCUGAGGAAGAGAAGCUGUAUGCUGCAGCAAGGCGUUGGACAGCAUAUUCCGUAGACGUUCUCAAUGCAUUGCUGAGAAGUGGUACUUGCUAAUCGAUCUGCACUGGGGAACUGAACUUAUUCAAACCCAAGAACUCCUUCACUGGGAAUAUGAAGUGGUUUACAAGCUGACAGAGCAUCAAGAUGAGCCCUCUUCUGCCCAGGCCAGGGUCCUGACUCUGUAUCCAGGCACCAAGCUGAGAGACAUCAAGGGCGACUGGAUUCCUGGUCUUCGGGAAGUAUGGAGAGAUUGAUGUUUAGAAAUACUUUUGGUUAAAAAGGAGACAUCCCUGGGUGGAUUCAGUGUGCAAGCUACUGUAAAUUCCUUAUUAGAACCAUGGGCUGUUUGGACACUUGAGGUUCACCAGGACACUUGAUCAUCACCUGCCUUCUCAGGACUGUUCAAAACGAAGGAAGACACUGAGUGGUCACGUGGAGGACUCGUUACCGUGUGUCAGCUCAUCUACCAUUUGCAGGGUCUGCACAUCUGAGUGCAGGGGCCCAUGGAGGCCAGAAGAAGCCACUGGAUCCCUGGAGCUGAGUUUCAGACAGUCAUGAGCUUCCACCCAAUGUGGGUGCUGGAAACUAAACUUGUGUCCCCUGAAGAAGCAGUAUGGGCUUUGUACAGCUGAGUAUCACCUCUCCAGGCCUGGACAGACUGGUUCUUACUUCCAUUCAUAUCUAGUGCUUUCUACGAUGUGUUAGAAUCUAGGAUGAUUAAAUGAGUGAUGUCUGUUUCUUCUUUGGUUGAGUGUUAUGACCCAGCGCCUUCUUCUGGAAACCUAUGGAAUCCAGGUGCAGCUCUUGACCUCUGACCCCUUUGUCUCUUCAAACGUUCUGCGUUUGUGGAGCUCUUUGUUUGAAGACCGUCCUGCUCCAGGAGAAUCUGUGAUCUCAGUGACUUGUCCCUCACAGUGAGAUGAUUUCAUUAGAGAAAUUCAGCUCUGUAAAUCCCAUCUCUUCCAACACAGGAAAUGAGCUCAUGCUGGGUAGGCCACAUACCUACCACAGUGCCUCAGUGACGCCCAGGCUCCCAUCCCUUCUGUCUUGAGUGUAUGAAGAAGAAAAGCGGCAGGCUCCAGUACGCCACAUGACAUCCUGAAAGCUUCCUGCACUUAGCUUGAUCACUAUCGCUUCCCAUGGAACAGAGCUUUAGGCAAAAUGUGGGGGAAUGGUCCAGUAACUGGAAAAAAAUGAAAGACAUUGGUGAACACGAGCACUGUAGAAAGCGUUGAUAUAUAUAUAUAUAUAUAUUUUAGGUGAUGAUAGAAACAGGAGUAACGUGAUUGUGGGUUAUUCGCUUAUUUCUCAAAACCCCUAACCAGAGGUUUAGAGGCCAAAAGGCAAAUCCUUCUCUUAAGUUUCCUAGAGAGAUCUUGGAGGGAGACAAAUAUCCUUAGGUGCUUUGGGAAGGCCACCUAUUGCACAGUAUCUCUAUGCUGUACGGGGCUAGCAUGCAGAGCCAUGGGCAGUGGGAACUCAGAAUGUUCCAGAAUGGGGAAUGUCUGUAACUGUUGGACUUUGGAGGUAUUCAGGAGCUGAAAUACAGGAUCCACAGAUGUAACCAGCACUGGACAGAUGUUUUCCCAAGGAUCCAGACUCUCUGAUAUGUUUGAAUAGCAGGUUUAUUUUGUCCUAAGGAAUGUCCCCAGGGGAACAGAUGUGUGAUCUGGGUGCUAACAUGUUCUCUUCUGGGCACUGGCGUGAAGGGUGCAUGGGUUGAUGGUAAAGGGCCAGGAAUUGGAAGUUUCUAGAAUUUUAAGUUGAGCACAUGGUUUAGGAAGCCUGUGCUGCCAUUUUCUUGUCAUUUUGGCAUUUAUUCCUUUAUAUGAACUUUACUGGUUGUAUAAUUUCAAAAUAACCUCACCUAUUGAUUCUAAUUAGAAUCAAAUUUAUUGAUCAA